GACGAACGCUGGCGGCGUGCCUAAUACAUGCAAGUUGAGCGCUGAAGGUUGGUACUUGUACCAACUGGAUGAGCAGCGAACGGGUGAGUAACGCGUGGGGAAUCUGCCUUUGAGCGGGGGACAACAUUUGGAAACGAAUGCUAAUACCGCAUAAAAACUUUAAACACAAGUUUUAAGUUUGAAAGAUGCAAUUGCAUCACUCAAAGAUGAUCCCGCGUUGUAUUAGCUAGUUGGUGAGGUAAAGGCUCACCAAGGCGAUGAUACAUAGCCGACCUGAGAGGGGGAUCGGCCACAUUGGGACUGAGACACGGCCCAAACUCCUACGGGAGGCAGCAGUAGGGAAUCUUCGGCAAUGGACGAAAGUCUGACCGAGCAACGCCGCGUGAGUGAAGAAGGGUCUCGGAUCGUAAAACUCUGUUGGUAGAGAAGAACGUUGGUGAGAGUGGAAAGCUCAUCAAGUGACGGUAACUACCCAGAAAGGGACGGCUAACUACGUG
rnacentral:rRNA from 1 species